AAUCAACGCUGGCGGCGUGCCUAACACAUGCAAGUCGAACGCGAAAGUUCCUUCGGGGAUGAGUAGAGUGGCGUCCGGGUGAGUAACGCGUGGGUAAUCUGCCUUUGGGGUGGGGGAGUAACUCAGGGAAACGUUAGGGCGUAAUACCGCAUAAUAGCAGCGGCUCGACAUCGAGACAGUUGUUAAAGACAGCAAUGCGCCUGAAGAGGAGCCUGCGUCUGAUUAG
rnacentral:rRNA from 1 species